rnacentral:rRNA from 1 species
GGACGAACGCUGGCGGCGUGCUUAACACAUGCAAGUCGAACGGUGAAGCGCCUUCCUUUUUGGUGGGUGUGGAUGAGUGGCGAACGGGUGAGUAACACGUGAGUAACCUGCCCCCUUCUUCUGGAUAACCGCAUGAAAGUGUGGCUAAUACGGGAUAUUCUGGGUCUGUCGCAUGAUGGGUCUGGGAAAGAUAUUGUUUCGGUGGGGGAUGGGCUCGCGGCCUAUCAGCUUGUUGGUGGGGUGAUGGCCUACCAAGGCGGUGCCGGGUAGCCGGCCUGGGGGGGUGGACGGUCAGACGGGGACUGAGACACGGCCCGGACUCAGACGGGAGGCAGCCGGGGGGGAUAUUGCGCAGUGGGGGAAAGCCUGAUGCAGCGACGCGGCGGGAGGGAUGGAGGCCUUCGGGGUGUGAACCUCUUUCGCUAGUGAAGCAGGCCUGCCUCGGUUGUGGGUGGGUUGACGGUAGCUGGAUAAGAAGCGCCGGCUAACUACGUG